UACAGAGGGUGCGAGCGUUGUCCGGAAUCACUGGGCGUAAAGGGUGCGUAGGCGGGUCUUUUAAGUCAGGGGUGAAAUCCUGGAGCUCAACUCCAGAACUGCCUUUGAUACUGAAGAUCUUGAGUUCGGGAGAGGUGAGUGGAACUGCGAGUGUAGAGGUGAAAUUCGUAGAUAUUCGCAAGAACACCAGUGGCGAAGGCGGCUCACUGGCCCGAUACUGACGCUGAUGCACGAAAGCGUGGGGGAGCAAACAGG
rnacentral:rRNA from 1 species